rnacentral:lncRNA from 1 species
UUUUUUUCUGGCUGCCUUUGUCCACACCUAAAUACCCAACUCCAUUUCUGCUUUUCUAUAGCGACAGAAAAUUAUUUUUCCAUUGAGAAAAGUAAAUAUGACGAGAGAAGAAGAGUAAGGAGACAUCCAAGCUUACAAGUCUUUAUCAAAUCAUGAAGCCAAAUGUAAAAACUAUACGUUCGUUUUAUAUUUUUCUAAAAGCUACAAACCAUUUCUCUCUUUUUAUAAUUUUACCAAG